GACUUCAGACUGUAACACAACCCUGAGG
rnacentral:piRNA from 1 species